ensembl:lncRNA
CUGCAGAUGGUGACUGCAGCCAUGAAAUUAAAAGACCUUUGCUCCUUGGAGGAAAAGUGAGAGACGAGGUCACAGAUAGUCAGACAUGACUUAGCGACUGAAAAACACAAUAAAUCUUUCCCUUAUAAUUAGAGUUGACUUAUUUCUUAAUCAAGGUGAUGAGUGUCUGAGUACUCAUGAUAUUAUUCUUUAUACAUAUUUUUUAUAUUCUGGAAACAUUUUCUACUUAUAUGUAAAAUCUAUUAAAAGAACAAUCACAAUAAACAAGUGAAUACCUAGGUGUCACCUCGGUUCUAUGGAAUCACACCCCCAGAUCCACAGUCCUGAGAUCUUGUUUCUUGAGACCCAGUUCUAAUUUCCCCUAGCGUCUUCUUCUGGUUGCAAAUCCAUCCUCAGCUGAUGGCAGGAGGUGAGAAUUUAGAAACAUUUUUCCAAGUUUGAGUGUCCAAGUGAAGAAAACUCAUCAAGGACAGAAGAAACAGAACUUGAAUGAAGAUUAAAAGAAAAAGAUUUUUGGCUCUAGUAAUUUUACACAGAGAUUUUAACACCUGUGUGGACAUUAUGAACUAUAGUAUUCUGUUUAUUUUAAUGCGGGAAAAACCUCAUGAACACUGGAUCACCAGUUUCCAGGUAAAAAUCACAUCCUCGUCUAGAGAAAUGUUGAGAAUCUUGUUUCAUAAUCCUAGCGCAUGCUCAUUACAGAGAAGGACUUUUACAAACAAAUCACUUUGAAUUAUUCCAUGGCAGUGUUGUUUUAUAUCUCCUACCCUUUGACCAUUAGAAAAACUUAUUUCUCUGCUCUUUAAAACAAACAAACAAAAGUGUUGUUUGCUUUUAAAGUAUCACCUCUUUUUCACUUUGAUUUACUGCCCUUUGGCGACCAGCCCACUGGUUCUCGGCCAACUCAUCAGACUCCUCUGGGCUGCUCUGCAAGGGAGGGACCCCAGAUCGUGGCUCAGGAAGCCUGCUCAGGGCCAGGGUUCCUCCAACGUGCCCUCUACGUGUCAGCUGCCAUCUGCUCGGCUUUCUCUCCUUGGACAGGGCAGGUCCUCUGGGAUGCUCGCUCCCUUUCCCCUCCAGCAGAGUCUCUGCCUACAGCCCCCGAGAAACAGGGUGGAAAGAAAAAAAGGUCCUUCUCAGGGACCAGCUUAGAGGAAAUAGCCUCUGUGUAUUUGAAAGUGAUGACAGGGGUCGACCCCUGGAAAACAACAACUAACAAAACAAAACAGCCUCUUCUCUUCCAAGGAUCCUGCCUCCUCAGUCCUGGAAUCACUGUGCUGCAGUUUAUGUGAGCUCAGGCUGAGUCUCCAAACAACUAAGAUCACAGAGGACAGAGGUCAGCAGAUCUUAUAAAUAAGCGUUUUGGAUCAUACAUCAAGAGCGCAUUUGGCCAGAGUUUGAGGACUGGUGUUAUCUGGUUUGAGAUCAGCUUUGCUACUGACCAGCGCUAUCUUGAAUGAGUUACAAAACCUCAUGGAGUAUUCCUUUUUUCUCCUGGAAAAUGAAUAAAAAUAAAACCUCUCCUACCUGCUUCCCGGAGACUCACCUUUGCUUCAUAUAAGGAGAAAUUUUGCCUGCAUUUUCAGGGUAUGGACUUAAGAUAAUCCAAUUCUCUUUGUUACACGGGGAGAAUGUUUAAGAGUGACAGUUUUUCUUGGCAUCGAGACAAGCUCUUGGACAGGAAACUGCUCUAGGUGGAUAUUUUCCCACAUUAGCACUAUAAGAAGAACCAACUGUAUGGAAUAUUAGGAAGAAAUAUUUCUCUCCCUUUCAAGGCUGUAUUCUUUGAGCAAAUAUUCCCCAAUAGUCUGAAAAAAAGGAAAAAAACAUUUAUUUCUAAAAUGAAGCUAUUCUUUUAAAGAUUACAACAAGGAAAAAAAUUCAAGUUAGUUUGGGAUGUCUGUC